AGAAUUUGAUGGCAGAAAGUGUUGCUAAGUAACGAAGAGGCUGUGAGAUCCAUGAGGGUACCACAUUGGUGCUGUGAGAACUUUGCACCUGAGUGAGAGCCGCGUGUUUUCCUUUCUGACACAUUUUGUAAACCUGGGUAUUAGUAUUGCUUUACACCUUGUUCUCAUAUAUGGUUUCCUAUGUAAAGCAUUUUUCCUUGCCCAUUUUUGGUUUAAAAAUUGGUAAUAUAUACAUAACAUGAAAUUAACCAUUUUCACCUUUGGAAGCAGUUUGGUGGCAUUUAGUACAUUCACUUGGUUGUGCUGCCAUCCUCCUCCUCCAUCUCUUGCACAGCUGAAACUCUGUACCCGUUAAACAGUAACUUUUCUUUACACCCCCGGCCCUGGCCCCUGGCAGCCACCACCACCAUUCUACUUGCUUCUCUAUGAAUUUGGUGGCUCUAGGUACCUCAUAUAAGGGUAAUCAGAGUGUUUGUCAUGCGGAAGUCCCUGGGCCAGGGAUUGAACCAAUGUCACAACAACAACCUGAGCCACUGCAGUGACAGUGCCUGAUCCUUAACCCGCUCAGCCACCAGGAAACUCUUAAAACAUUUUGAAUGGGCAAAUAAUUCUGAAAAAGAAAAAUUCAGCUGAGUAAACUUGAAUAUCUACUUGGAUUUAAAGGGUUUUUUUGGGACACAUUCUGUUUUUAUCUCUAUCUCUUCUCUCUCUCUCUCUCUCUCUCUCUGUCUUUUGGCCCUGCAGCAAGUAGAAGUUCCUGGACUAGGGAUUGAACCUGUGCACAGCAGGGAUCUAAGCCUACGCAGUGAUAAUGCCAGGUCUUUAACCUACUGCUCCAGAAGAGAACUCCCAGUUGGAUUUAUUAAAUGAAUUGGGGUGCACCCCAAUAGGUAGCAAGUAGAAAAGCACCCUGAAGAGCUGUACCAGAGGGAAGGUUUUCAUAGGUAGAGAAGGAAGCCUUCAAGGAAUGAAAAGGCUUAUUUAGGGCUAGGUCCUCUUCCUUUGCGGGGGAGGGCUGGGGUCUGCCUUGCAGAUUACCUCCCUGAUGUGGAUCAGUAAAUUCCAGACUGAUUGGUUUAAAAUUCUACUCCUGGGAGAGGCUAGAACUGCCCUUAAGUUAGGUAUCAUGGUUUAGUUUGUUGCUACGGGGCUUAGCACGGGUGACUCCAUUUUGGGCUGCUUGCUUCUUUUUCUUUUUAACAUCAUUCCUGCUGUUCUCUUAUACCCGCUUGUGGAUUCAUAGAAAAAUACAGAUUGAUCAGGUAUGACUCUGUUUUUUUUUGUUUUUGCUUUCUUUCUUUAUGCUUUAUACCAGUCUGGAAAAGCAAUGUGACAAAUGGUCAGCAACGUGAAAAGAUUGAACUUUUAGAAAAUGACCAUGGAGCAGACUUGGAUCUUUGAAAUUUUUUGAGGGUCCCCCCCUUUUUAAUGUCUUUUUAGGGCCUUACCUCCUGGAAACCUCCAUAUGUUGCGGGAGUGGCCCUAGAAAAGACAAAAAGACAAAAAAAAACCCAAAAAACAAAAAAAACUAUCAGAAGAUAUGAGCUCCCCCCCAGGUCUUUGUCAGGAGUGCCUUGAAAGGGGGGAUCCUGAGAAACUUGAAGGAUAAAUUGAGUCCUUUAAAGAAAUUUAGGAAAUGACAGCUAGGCAUGGUUCACACCAUUCGUUAAACAUGUAGGCCCCUCCUGGAGAGAGAGGAUUCAUGGGAUUUUUUUUACCCCCUCCUGAAACAAGUGUGCGCAGCCCUCUGAAAACAGGUUGUGUGAUUCUCAUAUGGAGCAGUUCCUGCUCCCUCAGCCCGUCGGCCAGAGAAGGGCUGGUUCACGGCCAAGGCGCAGCAUCUGUGCAUCUUCAGAGGGGCCAGUGUGCACCUGUGGAGUGGGGGCUGAUGGGCACGUUGUCUGCCUCUCUUUGGCUUCCUCAUCUGUCAUUGGAUGUUGCUGCCUAAGUAGUGGGCAUAUUUGAUCCACAUAACCACCAAGUGGAUUGACAGCUGAAAUGUGUGAGGCCUGAGGAAGUUCAAGCUCAAAGACCGUGACCUUCCUCCAGGGGCCAUGGUAGAAAUCUGCUCGGAUGCUUGAGUUAGGGGGCACAGAUGCCACCGACUGUGUAGGUAGCUCUUCUUUACUGUCCCUCACUCUCCUUAUUCUGGUACUAGCGUCUCCCUUUUUCUUUGGAGAACCACAGGUGUGGGGGAUGCAGAGAAAAGGAAUGCUUUUGUUGGAGCUGGUGAUACCCUUGAACCCUGAAGGGGGCCCUGUGAUCCAGGCUUGACCUGACUCCCUCUGGCCAUAGUGACCCAGGAGUGGGCACGUGGGAGUCCUCUUUCCCUGGGACCUUUUGCUAUUUUUCGGCCAGCAUUGUCUCAGUUCCGGUUGCACCACAUCCUGGCCCGCGCUUGCCAUGCGUGGCCUUUGGAAUUUCAGACAUUUGGAUGCGUGUGUAUUAGUCUCACGUUGCAUGUUUUAUCUUUCCCUUUUCCAUCUAAACAACUUCAGUGUUUUAUUAUGAAAAAUUACAAAUGUCCAGAAAAAUUGUGAGAAUUUCGUAGUCCCCACUCCUGCACCCUCACCUAGAAUCUGACGUUAGCACCUCACUCAUUUAUUUUUUAAUUAAAGUAUAGUUGAUUUACAAUGUUCUGCCAGUUUCUUCUGUACUGCAGGGUGACCCAGUCAUAUUUGUGUGUAUACACACACACACACAUUCUCUUUCUCUGUCUUCUUUUUUUUGGCGGGGGGUUGGGGGGGGGACACGCUCCUGAGGCAUGAGGAAGUUCCCAGGCCAGGGGUCAAAUUGGAGCCGCAGCUACCCACCUACAGCCCAGCCACAGCAACGUGGGAUGUGAACCACCUCUGUGACCUGUGCUGCAGCCUAUGACAAUGCCGGAUCCUUAACCCACUGAGCAAGGCUAGGAAUCACACCUCGCGGACACUGUCGGGUUCUUAACCCACCGAGUCACAACGGGAACUCCUCCUCUUCUUCUGUGAUCUUGCUUUAUCCCUGGAGACCGGCUAUCGUUCCCUGUCAUUGGCACUUUAUUUUGCUUGCUUUAACAUAGAUCUGUUCUUCUCUCCAUCCAUCCAUUGUAUUUUGGGGGGAGGCAUUUCCAGGUAAGCUGAGAACAUCUGUACCUACCCCUCACCCUAAAAGCUUCAGCAUACAGAGCACUAACCACAGCACAGGGCGGGCACUUAUUUUAUUCCUUUGAGGUUUAAUUGACAUAUCAUCCAGUGUGUUUACGUAAGUCCUUUGGUGAGUUUUGGCAGCUACCUACACCUACCUGCGUGGCCCCAAACCCAUCAAGUUACAGAGCGUGGCCGUAGCCUUCAAGCCCCUUCCCCUGUUAGUCCCUGCCCCCACCCACCAGAAGCGACCUUGGCUCUGAUUUUUUUUUGGUCUGCUCUGGACUCUCACUGUGGUUUUCAUUUGCAUCUUCCUGCUGACUAAAGGGGCUGAGCACCUUUGAAUAUGCUUACGGGCAUUUGGGUUUCCUGUCUUGAACCCUGUGGAAGGAUAACUUCCUUUUUUUUUUUGGUUGGGCCACAUGAGGGCCAGGGUCCAGUUGCUGGGAGGGGACCAGCGGUAUGUUCCCAUAACAAUUUGCUUCGCAGGUGUCUGCCGUUAUUUGAAGGUGCGCUUUCAUACCCUGUAAGGCUUCCCGAGGAGAAAAUGCUGAGGCGUUAAGAACUCAUCCCCAAAUUGGGUAGCAUGGUGCUCGAAGCCUUAUCUUCUAAUCAUUUCCAGUUAUGUAACUUUCCUCCCGGUGAGUAUGAGUCUAGCAGAACUCAAAGGCAUUAUCAGGUUUAUAAAGAGACUUGACCAGCUGCUGCCACAGGAAAUGGGACUCUGGGCUCCUCCCCACGUUGGUGUCAGACUCGUCCUUGUAAUGAAAAGCGAGGCUGCUGGCUGGCGCAAGGCCAGAGGUUCUCAGGGCAGGUGGCAGAAAUNGAUUUUUUUUUAAAAAAAAAAAAAAAAAAAAAAAAA
rnacentral:lncRNA from 1 species